AUUCGUGCAAUGUAUCCCCAAAUAGCCUGGAUCUGAGUGCAUAUUCUUAGUGAAUAGCACUCAGAUCCCAUAAGUACAGUUCAAUUGCCAUGGAGUCAAAGUCUUUUACAGUCUUUCGGUAUGCGAUUGACUCCAUGGGAAGGCUAUAUGGGUUAAGCCCAUUUGUGUAGUCCAAACUCCCGAACGGCCGAUGUUCGCAUGCUUUUGUCGACUGAGAAGGGCGGUCUGUGGUUUUAGCGGUAUUCGGCAG